AUUGAACGCUGGCGGCAUGCCUUACACAUGCAAGUCGAACGGCAGCACGGGAGCAAUCCUGGUGGCGAGUGGCGAACGGGUGAGUAAAGUAUCGGAACGUGCCCAGCCGUGGGGGAUAACGUAGCGAAAGUUACGCUAAUACCGCAUACGAUCUAUGGAUGAAAGCGGGGGAUCGCAAGACCUCGCGCGAUUGGAGCGGCCGAUAUCAGAUUAGGUAGUUGGUGGGGUAAAGGCUCACCAAGCCGACGAUCUGUAGCUGGUCUGAGAGGACGACCAGCCGCACUGGGACUGAGACACGGCCCAGACUCCUACGGGAGGCAGCAGUGGGGAAUUUUGGACAAGGGGCGAAAGCCUGAUCCAGCCAUGCCGCGUGCAGGAUGAAGGCCUUCGGGUUGUAAACUGCUUUUGUACGGAACGAAAAGGUUUGGCCUAAUAAGCUGAGCUCAUGACGGUACCGUAAGAAUAAGCACCGGCUAACUACUUGCCAGCAGCCGCCGUAA
rnacentral:rRNA from 1 species